rnacentral:rRNA from 1 species
GGGCAUGCGGCGUGCUAUACAUGCAAGUCGAGCGAACAGACAAGGAGCUUGCUCCUUUGACGUUAGCGGCGGACGGGUGAGUAACACGUGGGUAACCUACCUAUAAGACUGGGAUAACUUCGGGAAACCGGAGCUAAUACCGGAUAAUAUUUCGAACCGCAUGGUUCGAUAGUGAAAGAUGGUUUUGCUAUCACUUAUAGAUGGACCCGCGCCGUAUUAGCUAGUUGGUAAGGUAACGGCUUACCAAGGCGACGAUACGUAGCCGACCUGAGAGGGUGAUCGGCCACACUGGAACUGAGACACGGUCCAGACUCCUACGGGAGGCAGCAGUAGGGAAUCUUCCGCAAUGGGCGAAAGCCUGACGGAGCAACGCCGCGUGAGUGAUGAAGGUCUUCGGAUCGUAAAACUCUGUUAUUAGGGAAGAACAUACGUGUAAGUAACUAUGCACGUCUUGACGGUACCUAAUCAGAAAGCCACGGCUAACUACGUGCCAGCAGCCGCGGUAAUACGUAUGUGGCAAGCGUUAUCCGGAAUUAUUGGGCGUAAAGCGCGCGUAGGCGGUUUUUUAAGUCUGAUGUGAAAGCCCACGGCUCAACCGUGGAGGGUCAUUGGAAACUGUAAAACUUGAGUGCAGAAGAUGAAAGUGGAAUUCCAUGUGUAGCGGUGAAAUGCGCAGAGAUAUGGAGGAACACCAGUGGCGAAGCGACUUUCUGGUCUGUAACUGACGCUGAUGUGCGAAAGCGUGGGGAUGCAAACAAGAUUAGAUACCCUGGUAGUCGACGCCGUAAACGAUGACUGCUAAGUGUUAGGGGUUUCCGCCCCUUACUGCUGCAGCUAACGCAUUAAGCACUCCGCCUGGGGAGUACGACCGGCAACGUUGAAACUCAAAGGAAUUGACGGGACUCGCACAAGCGGUGGAACAUGUGUUUAAUUCGAAGCAACGCGAAACUUACAAAUCUGACAUCCUUUGACACUCUAAAUAGAGCUUCCCUCGGGGACAAGUGACAGUGGUGCAUGUGUCGUCAGCUCUGUCUGAAAUGUUGGGCUAGUCCGCACGACGCACGUAGCUAGUGCCAUCAUUAAUUGGCAUCUAGUGACUGCAGUGCACCGAGACGUGGAUGACGUCAAUCCAUGCUUAGAUUGGCUCAACGUUCAAUGCAUCAGCAGAUCGAGGCUCAGCAAUCGACAAGUG